rnacentral:lncRNA from 1 species
GCAAAGAUGUCAGCCUCCAUGAAAGCAAUUUUGCAUCCAAUUUUACAUUAUUUGUUUUUGUUUUUGUCAGUUUACACAUUGAUGCACAGUGUACAUUGUAUAUUUCAGAGGAUAUAACAGGUUGUUAAAAAACUUAAGUUUGCACAAAUUUAAGAACACUAAAGUAUUUGCUUUUUUUGCAUAGAACUUUUGUAAAAAAGUGUGAAAUUGGAAAACUUAUUUUUCGUGUUUGCUAUAGUCUUACAUAGUCUUACAUAGUCUGUAACUGAGCGCUGGAUCACUCCACUAUGCUCAGAUCUUCAGUUAUUUGCUGCUUGUUUGUUCGGUUCAUGUGUCAGUUUGCUCUAUAGUUAUAUUCAUUUCACUAUUGUCCAAUAUUUAUCUAGGCGGCUUUCAAAUGUCUGAAUAGUUGGUGCAUUUACAACGCUGCUGGGUAAGCUGUUCCAUAUUGGUGCAAUUCGUUGUGUGAAGAAGUUGGAUCUUAUGUUUUUGUUGCAUCUUUGGAUAGUAAGUUUUUUGUUGUGUCCUCUAGUAGCAGAAGUGGUGUUAUAUGUGAGUAGGUUAGGUAACGCUUCGUCAUAUAUUCCCGAUGUUAAUUUGUAAGCUUCUAUCAUAUCACCUCUCAUUCGUCUGUAUUUAAGUGUUGGUAAUUUAAGCUUCUUCAACCGUUGUUCGUACUCUAGAUCUUUCAAUGUUGGUAUCAAUUUUGUUGCUCGCCUUUGAACAUUUUCAAGUGCUGUUAUAUCUUUAACUUUGAAUGGGCUCCAUAUAGCAUUGGCAUAUUCGAGGUUUGGUCUUGCUAGUGCUUUAUAAAGUAAUAAGAACAUUUCCUCAUUGAGGCAGGUAAAUGUCCUUCUAAUUUAGUCCCAUAAUACUAUUGGCCUUAUUUAUUUUUUCAUUCAUAUGUUGUUCGAAAUUUAGUUUGUUAUCAAUGGUUACUCCUAUGUCUUUUUCUUUGUCAACAUGUUCUAGUGUGGUGUUACACAGGUUGUAUUUAUGGUUGUUAUCAUGUUGUUUCCCUGUUGUUAGGACUUUACAUUUAUCUGGGUGAAAUCUUAGCAACCAAGUAUUUGACCAAGAUUCUAGACAAUUUCCGGAUUUUGUUCAUUUCCGUUACCGGUAACCGUCGAUAAUUUCGUUUCAUGUAAAACUUCCUGUUUCAAAUUUUAGUUUUCAUAUUUCGUAGAGUAUUCUUACUGAAUGAUUAAGUCGAUAUAUUCUGCUGAUCUAUGAUGACAACAUCAUUUACCGAGAAUAGAGAGGGCGUGAAAUAUUCGGGUUACGAGUAAUACGCUGUGUCCAAGAACGCAAAUCGCCGUAGCGUAUGUCACAAAUGACACAAAUGUUUGUGAGUAAAACACCUUGGAUUUAUUUUAUUUAUGCAAUAACUUUGUGUCAAAAAAUUUGGACUGUGAAUGAAACCCAAAAGUGUUAGAAUCGUGGAACACAUUUGACCGGAAUAAAGAAAAUGACACAAGCAUGAACUUUUUAGAUUGGUGACCGUAUAUUGAGUUAAAAAAAAUCAACAAACAUACGCUUUUUUAAUUUAUUAAUUCAUAGCAAGCUCUUAGAUUUAGAUUUAGCUUUUAUAUUUAUAAUUUUGAGAAAGCGGAACCAGCAUAUGGAGUAUAUGUGUCUCAAUUGAUACGUUACUCUAGAGCUAGCUCAAAGUACGUUGAUUUUGUUGAAAGAGGAAUACUACUUUCUCAAAAGUUGCUAAGACAGGGCUAUGAAUCAAUCAAAUUAAGGUCAUCACUCAAGCAAUUUAAUGGUCGUCAUCAUGACCUGACUGGCCAUUAUGACAAAAGUGUGUCAGAAAUCAUGUCUCAGUGAUAUUCUUCCUCAGUAAUAACAACCUUUCAUCAUUACCGAACUGAACAAAGAAAUAACCCGACGUGUGCCGUAUACGGUGCAGGAAAUGCUUACCAUUCCGGAGCACCAGAUUUCACCCCUGGUUUUUAGUGGAGUUCGUGUUGUUUCCUACUUAUUAUUUGUAACUUGAUGUAAAUGUCUUUUGGUUUUAUGAGUCUUUGGUUACUCCUUGGUUUUGAUUGUUAUUGUCUGAUACACGAUACCUUAUGGAUGUAUUUACAUGAUAUAAGCUUAUUAUAACACUUGCAUAUAUAAAUAACACAUGACAAAAAGUUUCAUAUGAAAUAAAAUUUAAAAAAUAAAUCCUCCCCCGCCCAUUUUUUCAAAAAUUGGAUGAAAUCUACUUAUUAAUUUUAGUUGGCCUAAUAGUAACACAGUGAAUAAAUUAGUGGCAAAUUCAUUUUAAAGAUAUAAAGGCGAAUUCCUAAAGGUCAAAGACCAAAAAUCUUGUCUUUUUUCAUUUUGUGAAUUACCUAAAAAGUGAAUAUGUGACCUAAUCUGUAAAUGUUAUCAUAUUAAAUAUUGAUCAGUAGACCAAAAUUUAAAAAAAAUAUAUAAAAAAUAACUGCUCAAAGUAAAAAUCAUAAAAUUCUUAUUUGCAUGUAAAAAGUCUUAUAAACUGUAAACUUCCCAUGUAAAAGUCAAAAUAAAACCUGUAAACAUGGUAAACCUCCCUUGUAAAAACACAUAAAGACGUAAAAGAUGUAAAUAGUGUACAUAAUGUUGUUGUGUUAUGAUUGUUAAUUUAUUGUUAAUUUAUUUUUUUGGUGGUGGAACUGUUCGACAUACGAAAGUAAGGUUACCCUAUAAAGGGUGUAAAGAUCCAGAGAAGAAGAAGAAGAACAUUGACAAAGGGAUCUGUCUCAUAAUAAACCAUUCAAUGAGUUAUAUUUAAUUUAUCAAAACCAAACUGUCACCAUUUCCUUUGCUUAUCUCAUUUUGUAAAGAUCGUGUGGAGACAUGUAGGCAGUUGCCUCCUAUGGCAGGCAGACCCAAAAGAAAUCUAAACUUUGGUAAAAUGUUUAUGAUGAUUAAAAGCAAUGAAGUAAAUCAGGGUUUAAAAGGUCCAUUUACAUAACCUUUUUAAUCAUCUUUUUUAAUAAAACGUCAAUUCUAUAAAAGUGCAAUAAAGUUAUUUUUUAAAGAAAUAGAAAUAGCCUUAUAAUUACCGCCUCUAAGGCCAAUUUUUUUCUUUCUUAAAUACAGAGCCAAGAUAAGAUUUAUCAUCCUGUUUUCUUGAAAUUUAAGCUAUUUUGCUCCUUUUUUUUUGCCUAUUGUUUAUUUACAUUUAAGCACCCCAUUAUUCUUUAUUACUGCUGAAAAUUCAGAAAUUAUUGCUUGCACUUACAGACUUUAUUGCAUAAUGGGAAUCUGAGACACAUGACUGGAGAAUUUGCAACAUUUGAACUAUCUCUUUUCCUUUCAUUUGAGGUGUCAAGAUAUUACUUUUUCACAUCAAAUUCGACAGGAACUUCUGUGAUGUCCUGCUAUUCCGGACAAAAAGUGAUAGUUUUUUUUGAGAUUAUUAAACAAUGAACAAAAAUGUGAGGUCAAUUAUUGUGAUUUCAAGAAAUGAUGCAUAUAAAUAUUCAUUUUAAAAUACAAGUUUACAUUUUUGCAAAACCAAACCUGUUGCAAUUUUUAAAACUAAAUAACAUUGAUAACAAUCGUUUCUGUUUGUAUUAUUUUUAUUGAAUCUUAUUUAGUUAGUUAGUUUUUUAUACUAUCGCCAAAAUUGUAUCAUGUUGUCGUUUUCGUAGUCCCGUCAUUGUUGUCAUCAGCAGCAUCGUUCGAAGACAGAUAGUUUCCGAAUAAUAACUUAUAGAAAUCAAUAAAACUUUACCACAAGGUGUAUGUAUAUAACCACUAAAGGAAGGUUCGGAUUGAUUUUGGGGGUUAUAGUCUAACAUUAUGGAAUAAGGGGCCAAAAAGGGGCGUAAAUAAGCAUUUUUAUACGACCGCAAAAAAGUUUUUGGGAUCGUAUACUUUGUAUGAUGUCGUCCAAAGACACAUUUGGUUUCUGGACAAUAACUUUAGUUUAAGUCUAUGGAUCUCUAUGAAAUUUGAGAAGAAGGCUUAAUACCACAAAAGGAAGUUUGGAAUUGAUUUUGGGAAUGCUGGUCCCAACCAUUUAGGAAUUACAUGUAGGGGCCCAAAAGGGACAAAAACAAGCAUUUUUCUACUUUCAGGUUAAUAACUUGUGUAUAAGUAUUUCAAUUGCCCUGAAAUUGUACCACAAUGUUUAAUACCACAAGUAGAAGGUUUAAAUUCUUUUUGGGGUUAUGGUGCUAACAGUUAAGGAAAUAAGGACCAAAAAGGUCCUAAAAACAAACAUUUUUGUAGUUUCUUGACAAUCACUAAAGGAAGGCUGGGAUUGAGUUUUAAGGUAAUUGCCAAAUUCAUCAUGUUCAUGCAGAAAUCGUGGGCCAAAAACAAGCAUUUUUCUAGUUACGAGACAAUAACUUGUGUUUAAGAGUAUGGAUCUCUCUGCAAUUGUACUACAAGGUUCCAUACUACAAAGGAAAGGCUGGGAUUCAGUUUUGGGGUAAUUGCUCCAAGGGGGUAUUCAAAAGUUUGGGGGUUUUAAUUUUUCUUAAGGGGUUCAAAUUUCUUUUUCAAAAUUUGUCAAAUUUCAAGGAAUAGAUUACCUUAGCCGUAUUCAUGGUAUUUGGCACAACUUUUUGGAAUUUUGUGUCCUCAAUGCCCUUCAACUUUGAACUUGUUUGGCUUUAUAACUAUUUUGAUAUGAGCGUCACUGAUAAGUCUCAUGUAGACGAAACGUGAGUCUGGCGUACUAAAUUAUAAUCCUUGUACUUUUGAUAACUAUUAAAAAGAAGAUUUUCAGGAAGAAUCUUUAAUUGCACAGUAUUGCGCAAUAGAUUUGUAAGAUCUUGACAUUUAUUUUGUGUCAAAAACCUAUGUCAAAAAUUGAUCACAAUCCAAAUUCAGACAGUAUCAAGCUUGAAUAUUGUGUCCAAAUUUGCCCCAACUGUUCAGGGUUUAACAUCUCUGGUCGCAUGUGAGGCUGCACUCAGCACAACAAUUUAUUGUAGUUGCCAGACAAUAACUUGUGUUUAAGUGUAUGAAUCUCUCUGAAAUUAUACCACAAGUUUCCAUACUUCAAUGGGAUGGUUUUGGAUUAACUUUGGGGGUUAUGGUUCAAACCAUUUAGUAAUUAGGGGCAAACAAAGGGGAAAAACAAGGGUUUUUCUGGUUAAAGGACAAUUGAGACAAUUUUAAAAGCAGUGUAAGGGAGGUAAUCCAAAUCAAUUUAAAGAACAUUGUUUGAUUAUCUCCCUUACACUGCUUGUAAAUUAUGUAUUUAAAAGAAAUGAUGAUUAGAUAUAGGAAGAUGUGGUGUGAGUGCCAAUGAGACAACUCUCCAUCCAAUUAACAAUUUAUAAAAGUAAACCAUUUUAGGUCAAUGUACGGCCUUCAACAAGGAGCCCUGGCUCACACCAAAAAAGUUACAACAAGCUAUAAAGGACCCCAGAAUUACUAGUGUAAAACAAUUCAAACAGGAAACAAUCUAUAUAUAAAAAAACAAGAAAGAAAACACGUAUAAAUACAUUAAAAACGACAACUACUGUACAUCGUUCCUGACUUAGGACAAGUGCAAACAUAUGCAGCGGGAUUAAAAGUUUUAAUAGUACCAAACCUUCUCCCUUUUUCUUAAACAAUAGCAUGCCAUAACAUCAGAACAUAGAAAAACACACGAUAAGAUAUCAGUCGGAAGACUUAACUUUAAUCAAAAAACGCAAAUUAACACACUAUGAACGAAUAAAUUUGAUCUGCAAUACCUGAAUGCAGAUUCAUAGUUAAUAAAAUAUUAGGGACAAACAUUCAAGGCCAAAAAGCAAACAAAUAAAUCCAAACAAAGCCAUGGCAAGACACAACCGCCAAAUAUUUAACCCUUCGAAAAUAAUCACGGUUUUCAUAAUAUAUACAGGUAAAUGAAAAAUAACUUUGUCGUUUUAGGUAUACUACUUAUGUGUAUAUAAAAACUACCUGCUAGUCUGACUCUGACAAGAUGUUUUUGUUAUUACUUGGUUGUUUUGUAAAUAGCACUGCAUAAUCUGAUGUUUCCAUUUAUUAAAUUAAUAUGAUUAACAAGAAAAAUUAUGCAAGAGGUUCUUUUAUAUCCUAUGAACUACAAUCUUUGAUCUUGAUAUGAUGUAUAUUUUACAGAUUAUUUACUAUGCAGGAAGUGUAGCCAUGAAAUUGCUUUGAUCUUGAUAUGAUAGAUAUAGGAGGAUGUGGUAUGAGUGCCAAUGUGACAUCUCUCAAUCCAAAUAACAAUUAAUAAAAGUAAACCAUUACAGGUCAAGGUGUAUAUUUUACAGAUUCUUUGAUCUUGAUAUCAUGUUAAUUUAUACCCAUUUAUGGGCAUCAUGUUUUCUGGUAUGUGCGUCCGUUUGUUCGUCCGUCUGUCCGCCUGCCUGUUUGUCCUUCCACCUGUUCGUCCGUCUGUCCUGCUUCAGGUUUAAGUUUUUGGUCCAGGUUAAAGUUUUUGGUCCAGGUGGUUUUUGAUGAAACUUACUACACCUUUUUCCUAUGAUAUGAUCUUUCUAAUUUUAAUUCUUGAUAUCAUGUACAUGUAUAUUUUACAGAUUAUUUGAUCUUGAUAUCAUGUACAUGUAUAUUUUUACAGAUUAUUUGAUCUUGAUAUAUAUAAUGUAUAUUUUACAGAUUAUUUGCUCUGCAGGAAGUGUGGCCAUGAGAUAGCUAGGGGAACUGAUCUGACUGCGGUGCCUUCUAAAUUAGCACAUCGACAGAGAAAUGAUACCAUAUCAGGAGUCAAAGAUGUUCUAAUACAGCUGUUUCAAAAUCCACAUGGU